UACGGAAGGUCCGGGCGUUAUCCGGAUUUAUUGGGUUUAAAGGGAGCGCAGGCCGCCCCUUAAGCGUGUUGUGAAAUGCCGCGGCUCAACCGUGGCACUGCAGCGCGAACUGGCGUCCUUGAGUACAGUUGAGGUGGGCGGAAUUCGUGGUGUAGCGGUGAAAUGCUUAGAUAUCACGAAGAACUCCGAUUGCGAAGGCAGCCUACCGUAGCGUUACUGACGCUGAGGCUCGAAGGUGCGGGUAUCGA
rnacentral:rRNA from 1 species